rnacentral:rRNA from 1 species
GACGAACCGUCCUAACGUUGUUCGGAAUCACUGGGCUUAAAGGGCGCGUAGGCGGCUUGCCAAGUCAGGGGUGAAAUCCUGCAGCUUAACUGUAGAAGGGCCUUUGAUACUGGCGAGCUCGAGGGAGGUAGGGGUAUGCGGAACUUCCGGUGGAGCGGUGAAAUGCGCAGAUAUCAGGAGGAACACCAAUUGCGAAGGCAGCUCGCUGGGACGUAACUGACGCUGAGACGCGAAAGCGUGGGGAGCAAACAGG